AUUGAACGCUGGCGGCAGGCCUAACACAUGCAAGUCGAGCGGAUGAAGGGAGCUUGCUCCUGGAUUCAGCGGCGGACGGGUGAGUAAUGCCUAGGAAUCUGCCUGGUAGUGGGGGAUAACGUCCGGAAACGGGCGCUAAUACCGCAUACGUCCUGAGGGAGAAAGUGGGGGAUCUUCGGACCUCACGCUAUCAGAUGAGCCUAGGUCGGAUUAGCUAGUUGGUGGGGUAAAGGCCUACCAAGGCGACGAUCCGUAACUGGUCUGAGAGGAUGAUCAGUCACACGGGAACUGAGACACGGUCCAGACGCCUACGGGAGGCAGCAGUGGGGAAUAUUGGACAAUGGGCGAAAGCCUGAUCCAGCCAUGCCGCGUGUGUGAAGAAGGUCUUCGGAUUGUAAAGCACUUUAAGUUGGGAGGAAGGGCAGUAAGUUAAUACCUUGCUGUUUUGACGGUACCAACAGAAUAAGCACCGGCUAACUUCGUG
rnacentral:rRNA from 1 species